GCUAGCUCUGUUAGCAUGCCGGGUUGUUGCUGUUUGUGCUAGCUGUGUUAGCAUGCCGGGUUGUUGCUGUUUGUGCUAGCUCUGUUAGCAUGCCAGGUUGUUGCUGUUUGUGCUAGCUCUGUUAGCAUCCAGGAUUCAGCAGCUGUUGGGAUACAGGAAACGCUGACGCAUCCGUCAUGGUAGAAAAAGACAUGGUUUCCCUUUUUCAGAUCAGAUCCUGCUUCCACAGACGAAGCUUCUUAUCGGCCCGGUCUGAUGCAGCGUGACCACUGCAUCAUCUUAAACAGGAAACAAAGGCAGCAGCUUCACGCUUCAGCAGUGAGAUGCAGCAGACAUCAUGGCAGCCUGAAGCCAGCUCUCAUCCUCCUGAAAAUAGAUUCCCAGAGACAAGAGGCAGAGGGCUGUGAUGUCCUGAUAACCAUGUCACAUGGCGAGAAGCCUCCGGGGGUCAUUAUGUUUUAAUUCUUGUUUCAGGAGCUUCUGCAGAUGGAAAACAGCAAAUCUGAUCUGGACUGAAC